GGAGAGGCCAUGGCUCAGUGACAGAGCAUCUGCUUGGCAUGCAGAAGGACUGAGGUUUGAUCCCUGGCAUCUCCA
rnacentral:tRNA from 1 species